GACGUAGGGCGCGAGCGUUGUCCGGAUUUAUUGGGCGUAAAGAGCUCGUAGGCGGCUUGUCGCGUCGUCCGUGAAAACCUGCGGCUCAACUGCAGGCUGGCGGUCGAUACGGGCAGGCUGGAGUUCGGUAGGGGAGACUGGAAUUCCUGGUGUAGCGGUGAAAUGCGCAGAUAUCAGGAAGAACACCGACGGCGAAGGCAGCUCGCUGGGACGGUACUGACGCUGAGGCGCGAAAGCGUGGGGAGCGAACAGG
rnacentral:rRNA from 1 species